CGCCCGUCGCUCCUACCGAUUGGGUGUGCUGGUGAAGUGUUCGGAUUGGCUUCUGGUUGUGGUUUCCGCAGCCAGUAGCCGAGAAGUUCAUUAAACCCUCCCACCUAGAGGAAGGAGAAGUCGUAACAAGGUUUCC
rnacentral:rRNA from 1 species